CGGCAGGCCUAAACACAUGCAAGUCGAGCGGUAACAGGUCCAGCUUGCUGGACGCUGACGAGCCGCGGACGGGUGAGUAAUGCAUAGGAAUCUACCCAGUCGUGGGGGAUAACCUGGGGAAACCCAGGCUAAUACCGCAUACGUCCUACGGGAGAAAGCGGGGGCUCUUCGGACCUCGCGCGAUUGGAUGAGCCUAUGUCGGAUUAGCUGGUUGGUGGGGUAACGGCUCACCAAGGCGACGAUCCGUAGCUGGUCUGAGAGGAUGAUCAGCCACACUGGGACUGAGACACGGCCCAGACUCCUACGGGAGGCAGCAGUGGGGAAUAUUGGACAAUGGGCGAAAGCCUGAUCCAGCCAUGCCGCGUGUGUGAAGAAGGCUUUCGGGUUGUAAAGCACUUUCAGUGGGGAAGAAGGCUUGUCGGCCAA
rnacentral:rRNA from 1 species